GUUUAAUGUGUUUUUAUGAGUGUUUUCACUGAGUUUCCUGCUGAUGUACUCAUUUCUAGCAACCACCACCCGAUGUCGUAUACACGGUAGUUGAAGCACUGGCUGUGCCCUUGGAGGCAGUGGGUGGAAGAGCUCGGCUGCAGCCCAGGCCUCUCAUCCUAUGGGACUGUGAACUCCAUGUGAGUCAGUGGCUGUGCCUCAGCCUCACUGUGUGCACGACGGGUCAGCAGCAUGUGUGGAUGGCAGAAGUGGCAGGGUCUGUUGUCCUGGCAUCACCCAUCAGUCAGUUUGUGGUGCAAGGCCAAGACGCGGCAUGGAAGACUCUGAGGCUGCCUGGGAGCACACCACAUGUGCUUGGGGUCAGCCCUCGCAGUGGGCAGCUGGGGAAAGAGUCUCAGGAGGAGAGCCUGGGGCUGGCCAAAGCAUCCCAAAAAACUGCAGUGGGUAUUUUCUGUAUGGCUUUUUCGCUUGCAUGGUUAUUCAGUUCUGUCUAAGCUCUUUGCAAAGGAGGUGAAGUGGAGGGAAAAGAAAAAAAAACAAUGGUCCUUGUUUCUAAUGGUAGUGCUUAAAAAUAAUAUAAAACCAUCCUCAGUGGCCAAACCACAGAAAUUGCCAUGCAGAUCCAAGAGCAGGUGUGCCUCCUGGAGCUAUUGGAACAGCAUCAGAAACCUGCUGGAUCCCUGCUAGAAAGUGUCCUUUUAAUUCUUGGUCAAAUUCUGCUCCAAAUGUGGUUGAAAGCAAGACUGCUAUUUACUUUAAUGCUCACCAGCUUUCAUCUGUUGUUUUUGGAAUAAACUGAGUUCAGACGUGAGAAGUGCAGUGUGCUGCUGUUAAGAUGGCAAGUUGGUGCUGUGCUGGGAGAGGAUGGGAACGAGCCGCUUGGUACAUUCGGGUCCAAGGGACAAGGCCUUUGAGGAGUGAGACGUGGCAAAUGAUACUCCUGGUCUUAUCAGCAUGAAGUUGAGGAUAUGGCUUUCCAUCCUCCCCUCUUUUUCCUUAAUUUCACUUGUAGGACCCUUGGGUAGCUGCAGUCAAAUGAUUGUGUUUGUGCCUACUGUGAUCAUUUCCAUGGUUUUUUUUAACUUGUUCCAUUCUGCUAUGCCAGCAGCUCUGGAGGAUCCAUCCCCGUGCCUGCAGCUGAGGAUGUGACCAAGCUAGCAAAGCAGCUCUGCCACUGGGUUCCUGCUCUACCCUGGUGCUACAUGUGGCCUCCACCAGCAUGGAUAGGUGCUCAUGCUUAGCUGGCCAAUGGAGCAGGGCUUUAAACUCCACCAACGUGAUGCCGACCAGCUUGUGAUCCUCAUCCAUCCAUGAAGACCUGAGUUCUGGCUGUCUAAGGAAAACCCCACUGAGGAGAGUUGGCAGCUCUUGGCACCCCAGCAUUUUGUUCAGUCGUUUCAUCAGACCCACUGUGCAGCACUGGUAAACCCAUUCUGAGUUUUGCAGUGUAUGGCACUCACUCCCCACCCACGCCCAAUGGCAGUAGGCUUUUGAAAUGUUGCUUAAAGUUUGAAAAAAAAAAAAAAAAGUUGUGAUAUUGUGAUGAACCUCUCUUU
ensembl:lncRNA